rnacentral:rRNA from 1 species
GGGCCCGCACAAGCGGCGGAGCAUGCGGAUUAAUUCGAUGCAACGCGAAGAACCUUACCAAGGCUUGACAUGAACCGGAAACACCUGGAAACAGGUGCCCCGCUUGCGGUCGGUUUACAGGUGGUGCAUGGUUGUCGUCAGCUCGUGUCGUGAGAUGUUGGGUUAAGUCCCGCAACGAGCGCAACCCUCGUUCCAUGUUGCCAGCACGUGAUGGUGGGGACUCAUGGGAGACUGCCGGGGUCAACUCGGAGGAAGGUGGGGAUGACGUCAAAUCAUCAUGCCCCUUAUGUCUAGGGCUGCAAACAUGCUACAAUGGCCGGUACAAAGGGCUGCGAUACCGCGAGGUGGAGCGAAUCCCAAAAAGCCGGUCUCAGUUCGGAUUGGGGUCUGCAACUCGACCCCGUGAAGUUGGAGUCGCUAGUAAUCGCAGA